GCCUUGGCCGCGGCGGGGCUCACAGACCUGCUCCGCAGCUGCCGCCGCUGCCGCCGCUGCCGCCAUCUUCCCUCAGCGGCCGCUGCCGCCGCCCUCCAGCCUGGGCUGCACCCCGAGCGCUUGCGCCUGCGCCCUGGAGCCUGGCGGAAAAAAGGACAGAGGCUCAGAGAUGAUGCGAUGACAGAGGCAGAGAGUAGAGCGAUGUGUCUACAGGAUACGCCGAGAGGGUAGGAGUAGAGGCAAUGCACAGCUCACAAAUCAGCCUCGAGUUCUGCUCAGCUCUGGCUUAUGGUGGUGCAGGAAAUUGAACCUGGGAUUCAUAGCCUCAGCUUCCUCUGAUCCUUUCUUCAAAAGGAUGAAGAAAAAGGUUAGUGAUUCUACAGACUUUUGUAUUUACUUUAUUAUAGUUUAUGUUGAACUACUGAUGUAUCUCUCUCCUGAUAGACUAUGAGAAAUGCUAGGGAACAGAGAGUCUAAUUUUGCCUUAUGAUUAAGACAGAGUUCUUUUUGUCACACUUGAAACCCAGUAGGUCUUUA